ACUGCUGGUAGAGGGUGAGGGGGGCCCAGGACUGAGACUAAGGAGAUCUUGGCCCACAGGGGCUCCCCUGGGGGCACUGCCCAGGAGACAGGGGAGGAGACUAGACUAGGGCCUCCAAACCUGCCACUCGCCAGAAAGGACUUUCCAAAUGGAAAAAGCCACGGGGACUGUUGCUGUCAGUAUCGGAAGUUCUCCCUGCUGUCUGCCCUCAAGGCUUCCCACUGUACUGCCCUGGCCCUGGGCUCACCUGAGAUUGCUGGGGAAAAGAAAGGGUCAACCGGGAGGUUUAGACACGUGGAGAAGGAGUGUGCCUGGCUCUACCAGUUGGAACUGGGAUCAGAAGUGGAGCUGAGGAGGCUGGUCCAGGGAGAAUGCAGUGCUAAGAGACGAUGCUGCUGACAAGCCCGGCCUCAGGCUGGAGUCAGACUGCCCUGAUAUUACAUUACUGAGGCACACUAGGCUAAGGCUGACAACACCAAAUGCUGGCAGGAAUGUGGAGCAACAGGAACAGGAAUUCGUGGCUGAUGGGAAUGCAAAAUGGUACAGCUACUUUGGAAGAAAGUGUGGCAGUUUCCUAAAAAACUAAACAUACUCUUACCAUACGAUCCAGGAAUCAUGCUCCUUGGUAUCUACCCAAAGGAGAUGAAAACUUACGUCCACAUGAAAAUCUGCCGAUGGAUGUUUAUAGCAGCUGUAUUCAUCAUGGCCAAAUCUUGAAAGCAACCGAGAUGUCCUUCAGUAGGUAAAUAGAUAAAUAAACCAUGGCCAUCCUGAAAUGGAAUAUUAUUCAGUGCCAAAAAGAAAUGAACUACAAAGCCAUGAAAAGACAUGGAGGAACCUUAAAUUUACAUUACUAAGUGAAAGAAGCCAAUUUGAAAUGGCUACAUAUUGUACAAUUCCAACGACAUGACAUUCUGGAAAAGGAAAAUUAUGGAAACAGGAAAAAGAGCAGUUGUUGCCAGGGGUUAGGGAAGGGGGAUUGACUAGGCAGAGCAUAGAGGACUUUUACAGCAAUGAGACUAUAAUGGUGGAUACACAUCAUUAUAUAUUUGUCCAAACCCACAGAGUGUACAACACCAAAAGUGAACCCUAAUGUCAGCUAUGGACUUUGGGCGAUUAUGAUGUCAAUGUAGCUUCAUCACUUGUAACAAAUGUGCCAUUCUGGUGGAUGUGUGGGGACAGGGGGCAUACGGAAAAUCUCUAUAACUUUCCUCUCAGUUUUGCUCUGAAUCUAAAACUACCCUUUAAGAAGUCUUCUUUUAAAACAAUUUACAAAGCAUGAGGUGAUACAGAUGUGGGAGUUUGGCUCCUGUCUCUGCCCAACUCUGUGACAUUCGAUAAAUUACUUAACAUGUCUCUGUUUCAGUUUCCUCAUCUAUAACUGGGAAAAAUAACACCUGUCUUAUAGAGUUGCCAUGGGGAUGACAUGAGGCAUGUGUCUCGUUCA
ensembl:lncRNA novel transcript